GCUAACUACCAUGCUCCCUCGUGGUUCCCAUAAUUUCCAGCAUAGCCACAUCAUAGAGUAAUCCCUGUGCUGGGAAUUAUGGGAACCGCAAGGGAGCAUGGUAGUUAG
rnacentral:miRNA from 1 species